UGGAGGCACUGCGGUCUCUCCAUGGAAUGAACUGGGUUGUUAAAGUUUCACAUCUCUGGAUCCAAAAGCCUGGCCACCAUGAACUGUUUCUCCUCUUCCCAUCUGCCACACCAUCCUUCCUUGUGACCAGCCAACUGUGAGCUGAAGCUUCUACAAAUUGUGACCUACGGCGACCUUUCCUACUUUGACUUUUGGUACCUGGUCAGUAAUGAAAAAUUUACUAAGACACCAUUUCUAUCACACCAACAUGUUUGCUACGGAAAUGGACCUCUCCAGGCUGCAUAUCCACCUGCGUUUUGCAGCGCACUCCUAGAGAAUCCUGAUGGUGAUACACCUGCACAGGGGCUAUGCAGAAAAAUGUCUGAGCCACGUUUAAAUUGUGAGUAGCAUCACGGAAUUUAUAUGGUAACUUAAGUAACAAUAGUACUUCCACAAAAAAAAAAGUAAUAAGAACUAAGGAGCAAUAAAACCCAAAAUGUGUAAAUUUUGUUGUAAAAAAGAGAGGGGAAAAAAGUGCUCUAAAGGAUAAAACUGCAAGUGUGUUUAGGGGUGUUAAAUAGCUGACCAUAUUAAUGUUUUUGGUUGGAUCAUUGAACACAACUGUUUGCAGUCUCUCUGUUUGAAUGUCCACUUUGUAUGCUUUGAUACUGUGACUUGAGCAACUAUCUCUAAGAUGAUAA